CUAAAAUUGACGAAAAAAACCUGACCCUUUUUUAAAAUUUUUUUUUGAAUUCAUUGUUUUCUGUUUUCUCCUUCAGAAUCAUUUGAAUUGCUGAAAUCGGUUAUCAAUAUGUUUUCAACUUACUGUUUAUAAUAUCUGUUUUAAGCAAAAUCAUAUUUAAUGGACCCCCUCUCGCCACCCCCUCAUUUAAAAGAGAUAUCAAUUUUACAAAAACUCAGUUACUCACGAAUCUGUUUACGAAAAAAAAAAAACUUCUUAAUUGAUUACAAAAAAUAAAAAAAAUAUAUAGGAUCUCACUAAAAAAAAUGUCGAAAAGAAAGCGAGGUUGUUUUGUAAAGGGAUCUAUUUAAUAGUUUAUAUGCAUGUAUGUAC
rnacentral:lncRNA from 1 species